UACGUAGGGUGCGAGCGUUGUCCGGAAUUAUUGGGCGUAAAGGGCUCGUAGGCGGUUUGUCGCGUCGGGAGUGAAAACAUCCAGCUUAACUGGGUGCUUGCUUUCGAUACGGGCAGACUUGAGGUAUGCAGGGGAGAAUGGAAUUCCUGGUGUAGCGGUGAAAUGCGCAGAUAUCAGGAGGAACACCGGUGGCGAAGGCGGUUCUCUGGGCAUUACCUGACGCUGAGGAGCGAAAGUGUGGGGAGCGAACAGGAUUAGAUACCCGAUAGUCC
rnacentral:rRNA from 1 species